rnacentral:rRNA from 1 species
UACGUAGGGUGCAAGCGUUGCCCGGAUUUAUUGGGCGUAAAGGGCGCGUAGGCGGAUGGUACAGUCAGAUGUGAAAUUCCUGGGCUUAACCUGGGGGCUGCAUUUGAUACGUGUUGUCUAGAGUGAGGAAGAGGGUCGUGGAAUUCCCAGUGUAGAGGUGAAAUUCGUAGAUAUUGGGAAGAACACCGGUGGCGAAGGCGGCGACCUGGUCCUUUACUGACGCUGAGGCGCGAAAGCGUGGGGAGCAAACAGG